rnacentral:lncRNA from 1 species
AUGGCUAAAUGGUUCUUUAGGAAGAAGAGUCAGGCGCCUCUGGAAGGGAUGGUUUGGCCUACAGAGAGAAAACAGAGAGAAUGGGCAAGGGGUCAUCGAUGGACCGGAGAUGGGAUGGUAGGGACAGAAACUGCAGGGUCCGCAGAAGGAACUGCUCACCGAAAGCCAACAAGCUUGCCCUGUGGAAUCCCAGAAAGGCCCAGGAACUUCGGGACAUCACUGAAGGCAGAGUGAAGAGAGGAAGAGAAGACAGAGAAAUGGAGGGGAGAAAACUAUUAAAAUAAGUAAUAAGAAAACUUUCCCCAGAAGUGCAGAAUCUGAAUUUCCAGUAUAAAAGGGUCCAUUGAGCGCCAAGAACAAUGAAGGAAAAAAGGUCCCACUCAGGCCUACGUAUCAUUGUGAAAUUUCAGAACUAGAGGGAUAAAGAAAAGAUCCUAAAAGCUUCCCGAGAGAUAAAAAAGAAGAUUUUUACAAAGGAUCAGCAAUCAGAAUUGCCUCAGACUGCUCAAUAAAAACAUCAGAAGCUAGAAGAAAAUAGAAUGAGGCAUCAAAAUCCUGAGGGAAAUGAUUCCCACCUAUAAUUUCAUAUUCUGCUCAAUUAUCAAUUGAGUAUUGAAGGGAAAUAAAGACAUUUUUAGACA